GAGAAGCCGUCGCCCCCAUCUCCCGUUCCGCCGCCGCCGCCCCCCGCCUUCCCCUAUCUCCCUGUCAGCCACCUCCACCACCCCCACGCUUCUCCUCACCACAACAGAUCCCUUCGCCGCCGCCCUCGCACUCGCACCAAGCCGCCGCCGAUCCCUGCGUCCCAGCGGAUCCGUUCGUCGCUGCCGAUCCUUCGCUGCCGUCGAUCUCGUUGCUACAUCGACGGCAACCAGGGGUCGUCCUCCGCCCGGCCGCGGCGGAGACCAAGCAGGAGUCCUCCAAGGAUGACUCCCGCGGGAUCAUCCUGAUCCUGUUCGAGAAGUUCGGCUUCUCCCACCGCGGGUCCGUCUCCAUCGCGCUCACCGGCGCCAGGGCUGCCUCCAAGCUCGCCAAGCCGGACCCUUCGCAGCUCGGCUUCUUCCUUUGGUGAUAUUGAAGAUGAAAUUAUUAUUAUCCCUGCUCGCCGGUCAUCGCCCCGCCAAACGCAACCGCACCCCCGUCGACCCCGGCUGCUUGCCUGCCUUCCCUGCCGUCCUCGGCCGUAGGACGCCGCCACACUUCCUAUCUGCAUCGUCCUGCUGGCGGAUCGAGGUCACGCACUGACGACCCAUCAUCUCUGACGGCGGAUCUGGCCGUGGGCGAGGAUGCCAAGCCACCUGCUCCAGUCACGGCCAUCCCGACUCCUCGUCCACCCCCUGCCCUGUCCGGUUCAUUUUCGUUCGUCCUUCAUCCUGUCCACGCCGAUUUUGUUUACCUUAUUACGAUGUCCCACCUCCUCCUGUGUUUCUGGAUUCGUUUUGUAGCCUCUGUCCUACCCCCCUCUGCAUCAACUAACUCGGCGCCGCGUGAUCCUGAGGCGGCGGGAUUGAGAGGAUGGAACUCGGCCACGGGAGGAUGGUGUUCAUCGUGUGAGGGAAGAUGAGUAUGUAACUCAUGCAGGGCAAGCUGUUGUGCGGAUGCGUGACUCGACUGCAGCGUUGAGAUGGAGGACACGUGCGCCACGGUGUCAUGCUUCACCAUCGUCCCCCUAGCCUGCUUGCAAGGCGCCGCGACCUCGAUGGAUGUGCAUGAAGUCUGCCCAUCAAUAUCAGAUAGUGGGAUUGAUGGGAUUGACGGUGCUGCUCUUGGAGGGGAUUCAUGACGCGAAUUCGUGCAGCUGGAGUAAUGCUUUUCAUUUAGCUGAAUGUAAUGCGAGCGACACUCAGAAACAUUGUGAAGAUGAUCCUGACAAAGUGAGGCAGGUGGAUGUUUUAGUUAGGAAUGUUUGCGGAUGGAUGUGAAAUGAGCUGUUCAGUACUCUCCUAUUUAGUUUCACCAUUUAGGAAUUUAUUUAUAUGGUAAGAAUUGUUAGAUUGGUUUGUGAUGAAAUGUUGCUUGGAAAUAAAUGCAUGAUAGGUUAGAGUGGGGGCCAAAAUGGUUACAAUGCUCUUGUAGGAUGAUGGAUUUUUCCAUGUAGUUUUGUAGCCUUCAUGGAAGUAAGAUUUUGUAGGCUUGUUUGGACAUUUUUGUUUGUUUCGGAAACCAGAGCAGUUCACUUUAUCCAUGUGUUUUUUCUUCUUCUCUGCACUCUACUCUUUGGGAUGAUCAAUAUGCAUUACUCUUUUUCAAAGUUUCUAUUUGGAACUAUUUUUUAUUAAACCACUGUAAGAAAAGUUUCACAAGAAACCUAAACUCUGUAACAGGUGGUCAUUAAAAAUUGUUUGCCAUGUGUAAUGAAUGUUUGCCACAAGUUAGAGAACAUAACUGGUCGUAGUUGUUUGUCAGUUCGUUUUGCUCAUGGGCAUAUAUAAUUAGCUUUUACCAGUUUUUUGAUUAUACAAGUUUUUUCCCCUCUUUUUCCACCUGUAUGUUUCUGCAAUGUGUGUACAUUCAAGCGCCACAAGGUUUAUUCUCCCACCGUGUGCCACUAAUAUUUCAUUUUUGUUGGUGAGAUUUUUAACUUCUGGAUGCACGAAUGGUUUGGAUAUUGUGUUGCGCAAUGCUACUGGGUUAUGCUAUGACCACGGACAUGCUUAUGUGAUGGAUUCGACGGUGCCGAUGUGCCUUGCCUAUAUCAACUACGGUGGCACCAACCCUCUUGACGGAGCCCCGGGAGCUGAUGUGUUUAGCAUGUCUGUUGGCCUCAAGGAUGACCAGUUCAUCUACUUGUGCAACCUAUUCUGCUCCACCAUGGGUGCCUAGGGUCACCGAUCAUACACUGCAUCGACUAACAUUGAUAUAGACGAUGAAGAUUCCAAAAUAAGUUGCCUGUUGGUUGGACAUCCCGAAGCACGGGCUGGCGGAAGGCAAAGAGAGCUUUAGCAGGGUCGAGGUUGACACCUCACCCGAUGAUCACAUGUUCUUCAAGGAAGGAUGGAAGAAGUUCCUCACGAGAACAUGACUUGAGGUGUACGAAUUAUGCCAUCGCCCGCAAUGAAGAUAAUGUUCGACGAGUUCUGGAUUUUCAUGGGUUUGGUUAGUCAUUUCUCUGGUUUUUGUAACCGAACACAUGCAUGUGUGUGUGUGUGCUUAUGUGUGGCUAGAGGCCGCAGGAACCAGUAUAUAAAUUUUGGUCUACCUUACUAAUGAUUAUCAGUGUUGAAUUUGUUAGUGUUCUCUUCUUAUUUAUUCUUUGUUCUCUGUUUCAGUCUGUUGUGUCUGAUUAUUAGCCCCCCCCCCCCCCUAGCUUCAGUGUUCUUCUACAACAAAGCAGAGGAGGUUUUGUUGUCUUUUAUUUAUUGUUAAUUCUCCAAACAAUAUCUGUAAAAUCUCUCACUUGAAUGUUUGUGUGCAGUAGUUAAUCAACCUUUCGCUGGUGUAUUCAGUUCUUUGACACACCUUUUCAUGGGAGCAGAAGGUACCUAGCUAAUUCACUAUUUUUUGAACAUGUUACAGUUUUUUCAAGUGCUCACAGAAAAGUUUGUUGUUACUUCAAAAGGUUGUGUUGAUCUGUUGCUUAGUCCAAAAAAAUGAAAUGUAAUAAUCAUGUGGUUCUAGAUGGUUAAAAAUAAGAAGCCGCGUUGGUCUUGAUUUUUUUCGCAUCAUUAUAUUGAGCCUUUUUUAGGAUAACCUUUUUACUGUUGGAAAUCAUGGGCUAAGUUUUGUGUGUACCAGAAACAGAGAACCUUGUUAACUAUAUUGUGGUGCAGAGUUGAAUAUUGUGUGGAGGUUAGUGUUGAAGAAGAUAAGUUCAUUUGUGAGUGCCUUAAUUUUGAACACUCUGAUUUGCUGUGCAGCGACACACUGAAGGUAUUACUAAUGCUACAUUGUACUUACAUUACUUGCUCUGUUAAGCAUGAGAGUUAAUGAUACUUGUGUGUAGUUAUAAUUUUUCUAGGUUGAUGCACACCUCUUUACGUUGAGCUACCUGUAACUUGCAGGCAAACACACUGCACUAGAUGUUUGCUUGCUCCUUCUACUCCUAAUUGCUGCACCAUUAAAGGUCACUGCAUCUGAUAUUGAUCAAUUAACAUCAUGCAUGUACUUUCACACGCCUGUGAUGGCAAGAAGGCAUCAGAUGUCUUAGUAUGUUUAUUGCUCCAUGGUGUUGGGAUUAUCUAAUUUUGCUGCACUUACACAUUUUUUGGUUCUGUUGAUCUUAGGUAACUCAGGCUUAAAGUUUCAAAAGCUAGACUGUAGGCGCAUACAUGUGGAUUCAAUCUUUUUUUCUUAAGAGCAACUCCAACGCAGUGACUCAAAUCGUGUCCGUAUGGGUCGGCCGAGCGGACGGAUUUGCCUAUUUUUUCAUUUGGGUCAUCCAGUGCACCCAACGGUAGCUGACACAUUUUGUGACGCGUCUGCCCUGACAUUUUGUCAAACACGUAGCAGGCAGGGGAGCUCGCGGCAGCUUGGCGUGGCGAGGCGAGGCUGGGAUGGGCGUGUGAGUAGUGAGGCGGCCAGGCACGAGGAGGCGAGGCGACCGGGCGCACGAGGCUGCUGGGCACGGCGAGGCGAGGCCGGGCCGGACGCGCGAGCACCUAGCAGGCGUGGCCGCCGCCUGCGUCGACCAGGAGCACACACCCGCGGAGAAAUGCCGUGGCCUGGCGCUGCCCGUCGCGGAGCUCGCGAGGGACUCCUUUGUCAUGGGCGGACGCUGCCUGUCACGACGCUCGUGAGGUCCAGCUUGGGAUGCAUGGAGUCCAGAGCGCGGCAGAACUGCACGGCGGCUGUCGAGGUGGGCGAGCACGGCGGUGGCAGCUGCAGCAGCUGCUGCUGCUCAUAAGUCCGCUGUGGUGACUGUGUCUGCUGUUGUUCCUGCUUGCGCGGCAGCGGUGACUGCUGAUGUUGCUCAUGCGUCUGUUGUUCCUGAGUGCGCGGGGGCGCGGAGGUGAUGGCGUUGCGGCGGCGGUGACUGCAUUGGGCAAAUAUUUUCGUCUGCGCAGACACAAACAGACAAAAUGGGUGGGAUUGGUAGCAAAGCUGUUCUGUUGGACUAUGCAGUUCAUUGGCCAUGGAGUUUUUGCGGCAAGUCUCUAUCAAGCUAUUAACGUUAGGUUAAGCACUAUCUGAAGUAAAUUUCUGCCCAAAUAUUAUACUUGACACUUACUCUGACUGUAGAACCGGACACGUGCUCUACUUCAUAGCAUUCUGGUUUUCAUGCAAUGUGCAAAAGCUGAUUAAUGCUAAACGCAGGAGUGGGUGGAUAAGAAAGCAAAUAUAAUGUCUUGAGAAGUGACCAAAAACUCAUGAUGCUAUGUUUGUUGUGUUGUGUAACAGUGUAAGAUGAGAAUGAUUCACCCUGUUUGCUAUCUCUGUGUUACUUCAGAUAAACUAAACCGCAGACUAAUAUCACCCUGAGAUGUGAGCAUGAAAUCCCGAUGCUAUGUUUGUUGUGUAACAACAUUAUUAAGAUGAGACCCGUCUUGUGUGUUAUCGCAUUUGUGUUGGUGAAGAUAGAGUGAACUGUAGAGUAAUAUUAUAUUUUAUGAUAAAUAUGUUUACUUGUAGAUUUAUCUUCUACAUGCAAUACACACUCUUGUACGUCGUUCACAAACAUACACAUCAUGUGUAUAUUCUGGAUGCUAUCCAUACAUCACAAGGUCAAAACUCCCAUGUAUUUACUGAAAUUACAAAGAUUUGUGAGGAAAUUCAACGAUGUACUGGAAAUAAAGCAGCCCGACUGAAAUUCUGAUAUAUCUAGAUGACAAUGUUUAUUUCCGCUUGGUAUUCCAACGAGCAUAGAUGGACAAUAAAUUUAUAUUUUAAAUUAUCAUAACAUUCAAAAUAAUAUGGAUUUCGUAAAUUGCAGGGAUGUGUGACUAUUUAUUUUAUUUUA